GAGUUUGAUCUUGGCUCAGAUUGAACGCUGGCGGCAGGCCUAACACAUGCAAGUCGAACGGUAACAGGAAACAGCUUGCUGUUUCGCUGACGAGUGGCGGACGGGUGAGUAAUGUCUGGGAAACUGCCUGAUGGAGGGGGAUAACUACUGGAAACGGUAGCUAAUACCGCAUAACGUCGCAAGACCAAAGAGGGGGACCUUCGGGCCUCUUGCCAUCGGAUGUGCCCAGAUGGGAUUAGCUAGUAGGUGGGUAACGCUCACCUAGGCGACGAUCCCUAGCUGGUCU
rnacentral:rRNA from 1 species